CGCAGAUCUGCCCUGCCCACUUUCGCGCUCUUUCCAACACCUUUCUCAGUUAUUUUCGCCAUUGUGGGUUUACUUGUCCUCAGCACACUGAUUUGGCACUGCUGCAAUCGUCACACUUUUUCUGUUACAAACUGACCCGGCCCCUCAUCAGAGAAGGGAAAAGUCAUGUGGCCUUCACAGGAAAAGGUUUGGGGACCCCUGCUUUAGAGUGUUUGUCAUCUGCCCUUCCAUUUGCUUUUCUUCAUGUGCAGUGCUCCCCCUCCAUGUUUGAUCAAACUGCACUGAUAAUUUGAAAUUGUUUUAAAAUGCAUUAAUCGCAAAAAUCAGAGGACUAGAUCACAUUUCCCCCUGUUAUUUCACCACUUUAACUUUGGUCUAACCUAAUAUAGGAAUACAGAUAGAAAGAGUGCAGAGAUCACACUCGACGCCAUAACAACCUGGUGUGUUUAAGGUUGGUCAUUUAUGUGCCUAUAUUUUGAAAUUGUUGCCUUAAUUUUGUGUUCUUUUUCACCAUCCCCCAAUCAGGCUGAAGCAAAUGGUCAAAAGUCCACACAUACCUCAGUCUCAGCAAUUACAGGUCAACCAAAGCAGUAUUCUCUAAUGCAGUGGACUUGCAAGUACUGCACAUUUUCUGCUGAAAAGAGCCUACUUGCUUAAGCAUUACCGCUUAAAACAUGGAUACCACACUCGGACAUCCCUACUCCCAUGUCUUCAUAAGGACUGCCUCUGCACAUUUAAAUCUUUUAAUGCACUCAAAGUACACCUAUCGACAUGGCACUCUCAAAAAGAUGCAGGCAAAAGUGGAGAAACUGCAUUUGACCGUCAGUUGUGCAACUUUGUGGAGCCCUGCUCAGAAGCAGACUUCUUUACCCAUUUGCAAGGACAUCUUAAGCUGAGGCAAAUGGUUACUUGCCCAUAUCAAGACUAACUUUCAGAGCAGUAUUUAUUCGACCUUCACUGCACACAAAAGCAAAGAAAUGUGAAAUGUGUUUGAGCCAUAGUGUGGGUAGGACAUUUGUGUCUAAAUCAUUCAAUCCCAAUAAAAGUUGCUUUAAUAAAAAAAAAACUUAUUUUUAAUCAAAGAAA